AAAAGACAGAAAAAAAAGUCAUUUGUGAAUACAGAGUACCUAGUGUGAAACGUGUUUUUCUCCCCAGAGUCUCUGGUUCCUUCCCGAGGAUCUGAAGUUUGAUUCGGUAUCAUUUCUCCACAGCCUGAAGCUGUCCUUCCAUGACCAUUUCUGCUGGGAACACAGAGAUUUCAAGCCUAAGCACUUGACCCAAGAUGGCCCUGUGCUGUGGCAGAAUAACAUGACACUAGGAGAAUGGAGUGGAGAACAGCUGAUCAUGCUGUAGCAGACAAAAAUGAAGAGCCCAACAGGAACCAGGGGUGAUCUACAAUCUUCAAAGGCCCAAUCUUAGUGAGCCAUUCUGCCCCUCCUCCUAAAGGUUUCAUGUUUCCCGAAAUAGCGCCACCAGCUGGGCAAGAAGCAUUCAAAACAUGAGCCUGAGUCAGGCAUUUCAGCCUCAAAGCACAAGAUUAAAAUAUCUAACUUUGGGAUAGCAUUGAAAAUGUAAACGAGGAAAAUUCCUAAUAAAAAAAUGAUAAUAAAUAAAUAAAUAAAUAAAUAAAAUAUCUAACUUAUCUCUUAUUCCAGAAGCUUCCUUCUGCCAUCUUCCACACAAUCCCCAGAGACUUUCAGUGAUUUUUUUUGUCACUACCUGUUUUUGCUUUCAGGAUUUCA
rnacentral:lncRNA from 1 species